GACGGCUCAUUACACCAGCUGUAAUUUACUUGACCUUGACAAACCUACUUGGAUAACUGUGGUAAUUCUAGAGCUAAUACAUGCACCAAAACUCCGAUCGCAAGAGAGGAGUGCAUUUGUUCGCCACAAAACCAGCGCCCUCGGGCGUCACAUUGCUGACCCAGAACAACUCAGCUGAUCGCACGGUCUUGCACCGGCGACGUGUCUUUCAAGUGUCUGCCUUAUCAACUUUCGAUGGUAGUGUACCUGACUACCAUGGUUGUGACGGGUAACGGAGGAUAAGGGUUCGACUCCGGAGAAGGGGCCUGAGAAAUGGCCACUACGUCUAAGGAUGGCAGCAGGCGCGCAAAUUACCCACUCUCGACUCGAGGAGGUAGUGACGAGAAAUAACAAGACCGUUCUCACAUGAGGCCGGUCAUUGGAAUGGGUACAAUUUAAACCCUUUAACGAGUAUCUAUGAGAGGGCAAGUCUGGUGCCAGCAGCCGCGGUAAUUCCAGCUCUCAAAAUGCAUAGAAUUAUUGCUGCGGUUAAAAAGCUCGUAGUUGGAUCUGUGCUGGCCGCCCGGUCUGCCCAUUGGGUAUGCACUGGCGCGGUCGGCUUUUGCUGCCGGUUUACGCCCGGCGUUGGCCUUCAUCGGUCGGCGUCGGUGGGCCGGCGAGUUUACUUUGAACAAAUCAGAGUGCUUAAAACAGGCGUUUCGCCUGAAUGUUCGUGCAUGGAAUAAUAGAAGAGGAUCACGGUCCGAUUUUAUUGGUUUUGCUGACCGAGAUAAUGGUUAACAGAGACAAACGGGGCCAUUCGUAUUGCUGCGUGAGAGGUGAAAUUCUUGGACCGUAGCAAGACGGACUACAGCGAAAGCAUUUGGCAAGAAUGUCUUCAUUAAUCAAGAACGAAAGUCAGAGGUUCGAAGGCGAUCAGAUACCGCCCUAGUUCUGACCGUAAACGAUGCCAACUAGCGAUCCGCCGGCGGAUUCAUUCGCCCUGGUGGGGAGCUUCCCGGAAACGAAAGUCUUCCGGUUCCGGGGGAAGUAUGGUUGCAAAGCUGAAACUUAAAGGAAUUGACGGAAGGGCACCACCAGGAGUGGAGCCUGCGGCUUAAUUUGACUCAACACGGGGAAACUCACCCGGCCCGGACACCGUGAGGAUUGACAGAUUGAUAGCUUUUUCAUGAUUCGGUGGAUGGUGGUGCAUGGCCGUUCUUAGUUA
rnacentral:rRNA from 1 species